rnacentral:rRNA from 1 species
GAUGAACGCUCGCUACAGGCUUAACACAUGCAAGUCGCGGGGCAGCAUGGGGGUUGCUUGCAAUCCCCGAUGGCGACCGGCGCACGGGUAAGUAACGCGUAUCCAACCUGCCCUUCACCACGGGAUAACCCGGCGAAAGUCGGACUAAUACCGUAUGUUGUCCAUUGACGGCAUCCGAUUUGGACGAAAGGUUUGGCGGUGAAGGAUGGGGAUGCGUCCGAUUAGCUGGACGGCGGGGUGACGGCCCACCGUGGCGACGAUCGGUAGGGGUUCUGAGAGGAAGGUCCCCCACACUGGAACUGAGACACGGUCCAGACUCCUACGGGAGGCAGCAGUGAGGAAUAUUGGUCAAUGGGCGUAAGCCUGAACCAGCCAAGUAGCGUGCAGGAUGACGGCCCUAUGGGUUGUAAACUGCUUUUAUGCGGGGAUAAAGUGGCCCACGCGUGGGUUUUUGCAGGUACCGCAUGAAUAAGGACCGGCUAAUUCCGUG